UCUAAUAUAUUUAAAGAGUAUAGCCGUUCGGCUAUACUAUUUCAAUAUUCGAAUAUAUUUAAAAAGUAUAGCCGCACGGCUAUACUGUUUAGAUAUUCUAAU
rnacentral:miRNA from 1 species